rnacentral:rRNA from 1 species
GACGAACGCUGGCGGCGCGCUUAACACAUGCAAGUCGAACGGAAAGGCCUGCUUUCCCUUGUGGAUUGCGGGUACUCGAGUGGCGAACGGGUGAGUAACACGUGAGUGAUCUGCCCCCAACUUGGGUAUAAGCCUGGGAAACUGGGUCUAAUUCCCGAUAGGACUGCAGGGUGGUGCCUGUGGUGGAAAACGAUUUUCUAGUGGUUGGGGAUGAGCUCGCGGCCUAUCAGCUUGUUGGUGGGGUAAUGGCCUACCAAGGCGGCGACGGGUAGCCGGCCUGGGAGGGUGGACGGCCACAUUGGGACUGAGAUACGGCCCAGACUGCUACGGGAGGCAGCAGUGGGGAAUAUUGCACAAUGGGCGGAAGCCUGAUGCAGCGACGCCGCGUGGGGGAUGACGGCCUUCGGGUUGUAAACUCCUUUCGACCGCGAGGAAGCCACCUGGUUGGAAGGGUGGUGACGGUAGUGGUAGAAGAAGCACCGGCUAACUACGUG